AAGAAGUGUUCCAUUUCACACAGAAGUUAUUAGUGUUCGUAAUGUGGUCUUCACUCAGUAAAUGCCCAGGACGUGUACAUCCACUGUCUCAGUGCUGAGGUGCUAGAGACACUGGAUGACAGCUUGAUUUGAUUCGAGAUGGAAUAAAUUGCAUGUAAGAAAAGGACAAAGCUCUCCUCUCUACAGACAGGCUGCAGUGGCUCUGGGGCUGCUGUGUGUCAUCUUACUGACUGCCACCAUCACCCUGUGUGUCCUCUAUACAAGAGGUCUGGAGGAGCCCAAUGGCCACAAUAGCAC